rnacentral:rRNA from 1 species
CCUACGGGCGGCAGCAGUGGGGAAUAUUGGACAAUGGGGGGAACCCUGAUCCAGCGACGCCGCGUGAGUGAAGAAGUAUUUCGGUAUGUAAAGCUCUAUCAGCAGGGAAGAAAGAAAUGACGGUACCUGACUAAGAAGCCCCGGCUAACUACGUGCCAGCAGCCGCGGUAAUACGUAGGGGGCAAGCGUUAUCCGGAUUUACUGGUUGUAAAGGGGGCGUAGACGGCGAUGCAAGUCUGAAGUGAAAGGCGGGGGCCCAACCCCUGGACUGCUUUGGAAACUGUAUGGCUGGAGUGCAGGAGAGGUAAGUGGAAUUCCUAGUGUAGCGGUGAAAUGCGUAGAUAUUAGGAGGAACACCAGUGGCGAAGGCGGCUUACUGGACUGUAACUGACGUUGAGGCUCGAAAGCGUGGGGAGCAAACAGGAUUAGAUACCUGAGUAGUC